rnacentral:rRNA from 1 species
CAGCAGCCGCGGUAAUACGAAGGGUGCAAGCCUUACUCGGAAUUACUGGGCGUAAAGCGUGCGUAGGUGGUGGUUUAAGUCCGUUGUGAAAGCCCUGGGCUCAACCUGGGAAUUGCAGUGGAUACUGGAUCACUAGAGUGUGGUAGAGGAUAGUGGAAUUUCCGGUGUAGCAGUGAAAUGCGUAGAGAUCGUAAGGAACAUCUGUGGCGAAGGCGACUAUCUGGGCCAACACUGACACUGAGGCACGAAAGCGUGGGGAGCAAACAGGAUUAGAUACCCGUGUAGUCCCUGUCUCUUAUAC